GCAGUCGAACGGCAGCACGGGAGCAAUCCUGGUGGCGAGUGGCGAACGGGUGAGUAAUGCAUCGGAACGUGCCCAGUCGUGGGGGAUAACGCAGCGAAAGCUGCGCUAAUACCGCAUACGAUCUAUGGAUGAAAGCGGGGGACCGUAAGGCCUCGCGCGAUUGGAGCGGCCGAUGUCAGAUUAGGUAGUUGGUGGGGUAAAGGCUCACCAAGCCAACGAUCUGUAGCUGGUCUGAGAGGACGACCAGCCACACUGGGACUGAGACACGGCCCAGACUCCUACGGGAGGCAGCAGUGGGGAAUUUUGGACAAUGGGCGCAAGCCUGAUCCAGCAAUGCCGCGUGCAGGAAGAAGGCCUUCGGGUUGUAAACUGCUUUUGUACGGAACGAAACGGUCCGGGUUAAUACCCUGGGCUAAUGACGGUACCGUAAGAAUAAGCACCGGCUAACUACGUGCCAGCAGCCGCGGUAAUACGUAGGGUGCAAGCGUUAAUCGGAAUUACUGGGCGUAAAGCGUGCGCAGGCGGUUUUGUAAGACAGGCGUGAAAUCCCCGGGCUCAACCUGGGAAUUGCGCUUGUGACUGCAAGGCUGGAGUGCGGCAGAGGGGGAUGGAAUUCCGCGUGUAGCAGUGAAGUGCGUAGAUAUGCGGAGGAACACCGAUGGCGA
rnacentral:rRNA from 1 species